ensembl:lncRNA
AGCCGACGCAGGCAGCCGCCGGGUGAAGUACGCAGGUACCGCAGGUACCCGGCGCCCGCCCGAUUUCAGGGCAAGUUACUGUUUUCAGAAUCCAAGGGGAAUCUAACACCUAAACAAUGCCAAGAGAAAAGGAAGGAAAACGAAAAACUAAAGGAGCACUCCUGCCCAUCAUUCCAACUCUUAAAAAGUUCCUGAAAACGUAUGAGAAGUAUUGUGCACAGACUCAGACGUCUGUGUGUCCAGCCAUCAAAAGGGACUUGAAAACCAGCAUCAAUAAUGAACAAAUUCUCAGGAAGUUUGUACUUGUAAGACCUGAUGACUCCCCGCCAGGCAUCCUACCAAUUUCCUUGGAACCUUUGCUCAUGACAGUUCAGGAUGAGUGUUUCACUCUGGGGAGAGAGAUCUGCAUUUGGGGCCUUCAACUGAGCAACCCAGAGAUGGCCAGACUCGCUUUGCUUUUGGAAUCAAAGGGGUGCACCACCUGCCCAUUUACCACCCUGGAACUCAUUGAUUGCAAGAUGGAUCUGUGGUCCCUGGGGAGACUUGGGAAGGCUCUUCAGUCCAGCAGUUUGCAAACUCUUGUUCUUGAUUACUGCAAAUUUGGAAAUGAAGAAAUUGAGAGGAUUUUCUCAGGCCUGGAGAACAACCAAAGGCUUCAAGUCCUCAGCUUACGUUACUGUGGUCUGGGGCCACAGAUUGGGCCAAGGCUGGGCUCUAUCAUAUGCCAGAGUGCCAUUUGUGAGCUGCACCUUGAUGGCAAUUACUUGCAGUGUUCUGGAGCUCUGGAUCUCCUCAGACCCGUAGCAGAGUAUGCAGAGAUGCAGGGGAAAGACCAGCCAGCCACUUGCUCACCAGACCCUAGGCAUCCCCCUCAGCUGCUCCAAGCUAAGCAGAGAGGAAGUUCAACUUUGAACCAGAUUACAAAGUCAUCUGGAGCUCUAACAGUGAAAACUACUUCAGGAAAGAAGAGAAAAAAAGGAAUCAAGAAAAAACUUAAAAAUUCGGAAGUUGGACCUUGGUUAGUGAAGUUGUAUUUGGCAGAUAAUGGCAUAGAUGGAAAAGGAAAAGAAGGAGAAAAUAACUUGCUGGAAUUCACUCAAAUUUUAACAUGCCUGAUCAAAUACUCUGCCCAUUUAAGGGAGAUUGACCUUGGAAACAAUGUCCUGGGAGAAAUGGCUGCUGCUGACAUUCUUGAAGCACUGAGAGCCAGAAAGACAGGUAAACUUCCAGUUUUAAAAGUUACAGUAACUCCCCAGAUCUCUUCAGAUACCUUCAUGUCUAUUUGGGAAAAUAGCAAGAAAUCAAGUACUACCCAUAAAAAGAGGAAAAAGGCUAGAAACUGA